rnacentral:tRNA from 1 species
GGAGAGAUGGCUGAGUGGACUAAAGCGGCGGAUU